AAAGAUUAAGCCAUGCAUGUCUAAGUAUAAGCAAUCUAUACCGUGAAACUGCGAAUGGCUCAUUAAAUCAGUUAUCGUUUAUUUGAUAGUACCUUACUACUUGGAUAACCGUGGUAAUUCUAGAGCUAAUACAUGCUAAAAACCCCGACUUCGGAAGGGGUGUAUUUAUUAGAUAAAAAACCAAUGCCCUUCGGGGCUCUCUGGUGAUUCAUAAUAACUUAACGAAUCGCAUGGCCUUGUGCCGGCGAUGGUUCAUUCAAAUUUCUGCCCUAUCAACUUUCGAUUGUAUGGUCUUGGCUUACAAUGGUUU
rnacentral:rRNA from 1 species